CGCUGAGUUUGAUCCUGGCUCAGGAUGAACGCUAGCGGCAGGCUUAACACAUGCAAGUCGAGGGGUAUAGUUCUUCGGAGCUAGAGACUGGCGCACGGGUGCGUAACGCGUAUGCAAUCUACCUUUUACAGAGGGAUAGCCCAGAGAAAUUUGGAUUAAUACCUCAUAGUAUUAUAGAAUGGCAUUCAUUUUUAUAAUUAAAGUCACAACGGUGAAAGAUGAGCAUGCGUCCCAUUAGCUAGUUGGUAAGGUAACGGCUUACCAAGGCAAC
rnacentral:rRNA from 1 species